rnacentral:lncRNA from 1 species
GAUCAGAAUUCUCUGGAAAAUAAUAAAAAUAAAAAUAAAAUCCCAACCAACACGUGUAGCAAAAAUGCUUUUAAAAUUUUCAUAAUACAUGGGACCCCAGUGGGCUUCUGUCGAUGUGGAAUCGAAUGACCAUUGAUAUACGUAAAAAAAUACCCUUCUAAAUAGAGCCCACUGAAAGACAAAACCACUCACCAAAGGGAGUAAUGCAAGAGAAAAAAAAUCUCUAUCAGAAAAACAUAUGCACAACAAAAGAUAAAAAAACAAUCCUACCAAAAGCCGCUUCUUCCAAAUUUAAGCAAAAAAAUUUAUAAAGAAAAGGCAUUAUAACAGUUUUGUAACUUAAUUCUUUGAAGGAAAAAAAAAGAAAAAAAGAAAAAGAUCACUGUUAUCGUUCAUUUCCGUCCUUUUAUUUCCUUCACCUUAUUCAUUGAAUAGAACAUGCACACCAUCCAUCCAUCUUGACGAGGGGGUGUCCCAUUCACUUGAUUGCAUUGUUUUCCCCCUCCCACAGCUCCCACAAGAAUAGAACACAAAAAAAAAGUAACAAAGCAAAUAAAGAAAAUCAUCUUCCUUCUCUAUUAUUUCUAUAAUUAAUGUUUUAUAAAAUAGACAAGGAUCCAUAUGCCAAACAGAUAGAUAUUCAGAAAACGAGCACACUCAUGUAGAGAGGGGAAUAAAAAAAUUCCGAAGAUGUGGAAUCAGGGCAAUUUGUUAUGGAGAAAGCAUGCAUAAUCAAUCAAGCAGGUCAAUUUAUAGCCGAUGAUAAUAUAAAGAGUGGUGCACGGAAUGAAUCAAAGUCUCCCUGGGCCCAUUGAGCUAGGCCACUUAUGGGUCAGAGCCUGGUUUGAGUCUUUUGGGCGGGUAACUAUAUGAGUUCAGACUAUGUUCGCUGAGCUUGACUCAAAUCAACCCAGAGCAGAAAUAAAGUCACCCCUAAUUCCAAGGUUAUCUCAAUCAGGCCUUGCUCAACUAUAGGUCCUUCCUUGUCCACGAUCAUUGUCCAUCAAGUAGCACCUUAAGCAUUCAUUUCCUACCCUUUCCCUGAGUUCAUUUCCUUGUCGAUAGCUCCUUGAUCAAACAUGACCAUGAGUGGGACAAUUCCAUGGAGGAUGAGUCAUUGCCAUAGCUGGCGAUGGUCACAGAGGGUCACAAACUUCUCAAGAUGUCUAAAAGAGCAUCCGAUAAAGAGCCUAGGCAGCAAGGCGGGUGCCCAUGUGGUGAUGUCGCAGCCAACUUGAAGCUUUCUCUUCUUUUUUUUUUCUUUUUUGUCCCCUCCUCCUCUUUAUGAUGAUUGAUUACUGGCUCUUCUUCUUUCCUUUUUCACUUAUUUUGCAAAAGAAAAAGGAAUAACAAUGGAGAAACCUAGACGAAAAGUGGAUGAAACCAUUGUCUCAUACACAUACCCCCUCCUCCUAUACCAGAUGCAUAAUACCUUAAGAGUCUACUAUUAUUUGCCCUCAGAGAAGUAUUCCAUUAGUAUUAACAGAAUCACACCUUGUCCUGUGUGUACAUGGCAUGUGAGGGCACAGAAAACCAUAAACGCUCUUCUCAAGAGCCAACACACCUUAUUCUUAAGCCAAGCCUGUGAAUCAAGGUGAGAUAAGAGAGUUUGAGGAAUUUUUAUAUAUUUGGAACAGUGGAUCUAACUAUGACAUGCAAGAACUAAGCUAGGAAGCUGAAUGACUAGCAAUUUUACCUAAAGAGGAUAAUGUUAGUAUAAACAAAAGAAAAAAUGCCAUCCAUCAAUUAUGUCGGACUCCAACACACAAAUUAUAAGCCAAAAAGACAAACUUGUCAUAGUAUUUAAGCCAUGAGAGGUUCUUCUGUAAGGAAGAAGAUCACGGCACCCUUGUCCAACAUAAAGCAGCUCUAGUUAUACACUACUGAAAUAACUGAUGCAUUGAUCUCAACGAAAUCCAGAUCUUGACAUCACUUACCAAAAUUUGUCAUUUUGGUGUCAAUCAUCCAAACAUGUUUUCUUUGAUUCCUGGUCACACCGAAACCAGUUUAAUGAUGCACAUGUUUCAUUCAUUUCGAAAAAGAUAAUAUACCACAAGUUUCAUACCCCAUUUUUAGGUGGUUUAGCCCAUCUUUAGCAAAUACGGUUUCACUUUUUGUCCUCCAUUAAGAAAAAUAUGCAAGAUAAAUUUCUCUCAUCCAGUGCAUGCUUGGCAUUCUCACAAUGGAUCAGUGUUGCAUCCUACAUUUUCAGCUUUCUUAAAGGUUCUUCAGGUCAUAACUUCCAUUUUUUUUUCCAGUCAACAUUGACUUUCAAUCAGUGGAAUUCUCAAUCAUUUUUUGUUCAAACAAAGAAACUAAAUCACAAAUCAUUCGCCUUUUCGUUGAAGUUUUAGAUUUUGAUAAUUAGCAUUCUUGAAUUCACUUAAUCGUACCUUCUAAUUUGACAUAUUUUGAAGAUGCACCUUAACGGACAAAUCAUAAUAAGACAAAAGACUACAAUAAGAAGCCAAUGAUGUUUCAAUCAUCUGCCUGUAGAAGAUUCUAAUUGGUGAAGCAUAGCUAAUGUCAUUGUUUCCAGCAUUAUUCAAAUAAUGUCCUAUGAACUGGUUUUGUCCCAAGUUUCGGCUCACAACUACCUAGCCCAUAGCCUGCUAACAAUGACAAUAUAAGUUUAGCUAAAACACAGACAAAUUAUUUCUCCUUGGAACAAAUUAUAUCCUCUCAAAUAGGAGUAUCUCCAGACAACUCCCAACCCUAAAACUUUAAGAAGUGAUUCACUAGUCCUAAUCCUGAAAAAGAGGAAGGUGCAUGCCUCAUGCACUUGCUCAGCCCCAGAUUGUCCUGUAAUCAAACCCAGCCUGCAGCCUACUCAUACAAAAAUCCAUACCUGACCACAAUAUAGGCCAACUUAACGGAAGAACACAACUAAUAACAGAGCAGAAGAGAGAGAUGCAUACACUUGUUUCUUACAAAAUUUUGUAUUUUCACAAAAUAUUGCUUCAGCCAACAACUUAGGUAUCAAUUCUCGGUACUACUGCGUUUAGGUAUGUAAACCAUUUAGGAAUCCGACAUUUACCCAACAAUGUGGGUGGUCUCUCUUUCCAUGCACCACCAUACUAUCAAUAACACAUUUUGACACUUAGACAUCAAGCAACAACCUCAGAAUUUAAAAUAGAAGAUGCAACUCAGAUUACUGCAAAACCACACUCUACUGUUAAACUCCACUGUAACAUGGAAGAGUGACACCAGAAAUUUAGCAUUCAUGCAUGUUGUUAGGAACAAAAUCAAUCAUGACUCUGAUCUUCUCAAUCUAAUUCUUCCUCGGACCACAUUAAAAAUCCUAGUCUACCUUAGCCAAGACCAAUUGUCUGCAAUAUAAUAACUAGUACAAUCUUAACAUCAACCUAGUUGCACCGCAUAAAUCUACCCCUCAAAACCCCUCCUGAAUACAGUAUAUAUGAAUGACAAAGUGUGAACGUUGAUCUGGGUAAUUAUCUACACACUGUAUUUAAUUUUAAGGCAUUGGGAAAACAUGAAAUAAAUAUGGUGGAUGGUGCAAAUAUUAGUCUAAUUUUAAGAUCCUUAGGUUCUUCUCAGUAAGUGUUCAGCACGAGCUUAAAAUCUUAGAUCUAUAGUUCUUGAACCCCAACUAGUAAUAGAUUUCCCCGGCUCUCAAGAUCAUGACGUAACAUAUACUUAGGCCCUUAUUCUUUUCACCAGAUUGGACACAAGAUUCAAAGAAACAAACAACGUUAUACAGAUUCACAAACUGGGAGAAUAGUUCCAACCAUUGACUUUCGGAGGCUCAAAUUUGUUGACAAUAGAUAUGUAGUAGCAUCUUAACUAAAUGAUCAAUUUACCCAGCCAGAAAAGCCAAGUUGAAACAGAGAAAAGACUCAAGGUGGUCCAUCGUUCACAAGACCCUUAGGUUCUUCUGUCAAAUGUUCAGCACCAGCCUAAACUCCUGGAUCUAUAGUUCUUGAAUCGCAUUCAACGAUAGAUUUCCCCAUUUCUCAAGAUCAUGACAUACCAUAUGGUUAGACCCAUAUUCCUUGAUCAGAUUGGCACAGAAGAAUCAAGAAACUACACGAAUCGAUUUAAAAAAAAAAGCGUCGUACAGAUUUAUAAACUGGGAAUACAUCGUCAUGGCAGAAGAGAAUAAACUCCAAGAAAUAACAAGAACCAAGAAUAUGACCACAUAGCAUGGAAGAUUGGGUACCUCGUCCAGGUGUCCGGAUCGACCCAUUGGCGAUGGGGAGCCGCAUGGUGGGGGGAGAAACCCGAGACAUCUGCCUGCGAGAGAACCGACAUCCCCCCGCCCCCUUGCGCGGCAAGACCAGUGGAUCCGCGGUGGCGAUCGUACCCGGUUUCGCCCGCUCCUUCUUGGAUCCAAGGACGUCCGCAGAACUGCGAUCGAGGGAACUCGAAAGAGGGUUUCGAUCGAACAAACUUGGGUGGAUCGGAAAGCAACGAGGAGGGAAAAGGGAUGCAAACCGUUUAAAUCGUGACGACGCUAAUCUUUUUCCCUUCGAAUCCUCGUUUCUUUGCGUACGGAAAC